UUACAUCUACCACUCUGUGUAGUUACGUCUAUUUACAAACUAUUCGAAUUCUUUUAUUUGGAAUUAGCAUGGUUUUAUCAGCGUAUUAUGUCCAAACAAGAGCUUUAGAUGAAUUCCGUCCAAGAAAAAGCACAUAAUGAAGAAAAAUUCCAAUAAACGAAUAAAUCUUUGGUAUGGGUUUUUCGCUGCAAAUGUCGUAUUUAAAACAGUAAAGGGUUUUUUUCGUUACCAGCCUCCAAUUAUCGCAGUUUUUUUGCAAUGCAUAGUUAUUUAAUAUAAGUAUAAACAUGCAAAUGUUUGGCGUUUGCUCCAUGUCUCUUUUGGCGUUUGCGCCAUCUCAAACACCAAAAAAUCCUGGAUCCGUAAUUGUUGCAGUACAUUAUGGAAGUAUAAAACAGAUGGAAGUUCAACCACAUUAUAAUGCUUCGGGACUAUGCUUGUAACCUUUAUCAAAAAGAAACCGACAUCGAGACUAUACAUAAACGCCUGAUUUUUCUUACCUCGACGCAAAUAAUAACGCAAACGUUCAUAAUAAUUUAAAAAUAUAGUAUUUUAGUAAAAUGGCGACAACAAAAAGGAAAACAACAACUUUUUCUUUAACUACUUAAUAAAAUAAAUAGAAUAGUCAAGAAUAAAAUUGUGAUAUAAAAAUAAUGAAAUUUUAAGCUUUUGUAACCUAGAAAACAUUUUUUUAUUAAUCAAAUUUUUUUAUUAAUCAAACGUCGUGUCGCGAUUCGAAACAUGAAAAGAAGUAUAGACUAACAUAUGCUUUUAAAAAAAUGUAAUUCUUUUUAAUUACCGAGUUCUAAACUUUUUGUUAAAUAAUUACAAUAACUAAUUAGUUAUUGUAACUAUUUAAGGUGGCUCAAUGAUUAAAAAAAUGAUUUCUACAUUUUAAAUAUAAAUGUUUCCAAAUAACUUAAAAUGAAAAAAAUAAUCAUUUUUAUCAAUAAAAACACUCCAAAAAAUUAUAAAAAACUUAUUGGUUUGCUGAGUCAGCAAAAAAUGCGUAAAUUAUAAACACAUUUUUAGAAUUUUAUAACUCCUAACAUAUUCAUCCAAUGAGCGUAAAAAUUUCAGAAUAUUUUUAUGAUUCAAAAACAAAGAGAGCAAAAUUUUUAAUAAAAACUUGUACAUCACAAAUGGCGGAUAAAAACAAUGGAUGCAAAAUAAAAAUCAAUUUUUUAUUUAAGAUAAUUAUUCUAAAUAAUACCAUUAAUUUAAGUUCUGCUACAGUCUCACGUGUUUGUUAUCGAGCACACCCUGAAAAUUUCAAGUUGAUUGCUUUUAAUCUUUUUAAAAGAACCUAUUUUAAGUUUUGUGCAAUAUUGAAAAAAACAAUUCUUUAAAAAGUACAUAUAAUAAUAUUUUUUAAUAUUUUCCUAGAGAGUAAGAUUUCCCAUCUUCAACAUCCAUUUCUUUAUCAAUAAGUCCCUUUUUUGACUUUAGCAUUUUUUUGUCUUUUUUAAAAGCUUUAGAAUAUUUUUUUUUAAAUGACACUGACGGUGGCUGUAUAUUUUACAUGAACCAUAAUUACCAAGGUAUCCGAUUUUGAAAUUUAGAAUCUCAAAAACUUAUGAAAAACUGGACAUUUCAUCAUUGAAAUAAAUAACAUCUAAAGCUACACCGAUUUCUACACUUCUUUGCAAGCAAGUACAUCGUUAUGAAACUUUUACCAAGUUAUUUGAUUAAAUGCUUUUAAAUUUCGGAUACUAUCAUGAAGACAUCGUUUUAACAAACUUUCAGAGCAUAAAUUUAUAAAAAUCAAUUUUAUCGGAUUAUGAAUAAUUGUAUGUUUAUGUUUAGUCAGAGAUUUAUAAUAACAUAUAUAUUUUUUAUUAUUA
rnacentral:lncRNA from 1 species